GGCUGUGGCUGGAUUCAAGUAAUCCAGGAUAGGCUGUUUCCAUCCGUGAGGCCUAUUCUUGAUUACUUGUUUCUGGAGGCAGCU
ensembl:miRNA MIR26A2 microRNA 26a-2